rnacentral:rRNA from 1 species
UACGUAGGUGACAAGCGUUGUCCGGAUUUACUGGGCGUAAAGAGCGCGCAGGCGGUCGAUCAAGUCGAGUGUGAAAGCCCCCGGCUCAACUGGGGAGGGUCAUUCGAUACUGAUCGACUCGAAGGCAGGAGAGGGUAGUGGAAUUCCCGGUGUAGUGGUGAAAUGCGUAGAUAUCGGGAGGAACACCAGUGGCGAAGGCGACAUCCUGGACCGGUAUUGACGCUGAGGCGCGAAAGCCAGGGGAGCAAACGGG